GCCCCCGUAGCUCAGUGGAUAGAGCAUCCGCCUUCUAAGCGGCAGGUCGCAGGUUCGAGUCCUGCCGGGGGCACCA
rnacentral:tRNA from 1 species